UACGUAGGGGGCAAGCGUUGUCCGGAUUUAUUGGGCGUAAAGAGCGUGUAGGCGGCCAGGUAGGUCCGUUGUGAAAACUGGAGGCUUAACCUCCAGCUGUCGAUGGAAACCAUCUGGCUAGAGUCCGGAAGAGGAGAGUGGAAUUCCUGGUGUAGCGGUGAAAUGCGCAGAUAUCAGGAAGAACACCCGUGGCGAAGGCGGCUCUCUGGGACGGUACUGACGCUGAGGCACGAAAGCGUGGGGAGCAAACAGG
rnacentral:rRNA from 1 species